AGAGUUUGAUCCUGGCUCAGAUUGAACGCUGGCGGCAUGCCUUACACAUGCAAGUCGAACGGCAGCACGGGAGCAAUCCUGGUGGCGAGUGGCGAACGGGUGAGUAAUAUAUCGGAACGUGCCCAGUCGUGGGGGAUAACGCAGCGAAAGCUGUGCUAAUACCGCAUACGAUCUCUGGAUGAAAGCGGGGGACUCGUAAGAGCCUCGCGCGAUUGGAGCGGCCGAUAUCAGAUUAGCUAGUUGGUGGGGUAAAGGCCCACCAAGGCGACGAUCUGUAGCUGGUCUGAGAGGACGACCAGCCACACUGGAACUGAGACACGGUCCAGACUCCUACGGGAGGCAGCAGUGGGGAAUUUUGGACAAUGGGCGCAAGCCUGAUCCAGCAAUGCCGCGUGCAGGAUGAAGGCCUUCGGGUUGUAAACUGCUUUUGUACGGAACGAAAAGGUCUGCCUUAAUACGGUGGGCCCAUGACGGUACCGUAAGAAUAAGCACCGGCUAACUACGUGCCAGCAGCCGCGGUAAUACGUAGGGUGCGAGCGUUAAUCGGAAUUACUGGGCGUAAAGCGUGCGCAGGCGGUUAUAUAAGACAGAUGUGAAAUCCCCGGGCUCAACCUGNGACCUGCAUUUGUGACUGUAUAGCUAGAGUACGGUA
rnacentral:rRNA from 1 species